CAAUAGCGUAUAUUUAAGUUGUUGCAGUUAAAAAGCUCGUAGUUGGAUUUCGGGCCCAGGUGACCGGUCCGCCGUUUCGGUGUGCACUGGUUAGCUCGGUCUUUCUGUCGGGGACGCGCUCCGUCUUAAUUGCCGGACGCGGAGUCGGCGAUGUUACUUUGAAAAAAUUAGAGUGUUCAAAGCAGGCUUACGCUCUGAAUACUAUAGCAUGGAAUAACACGAUAGGACUCCGAGCCUAUUUUGUUGGUCUUCGGGACCGGAGUAAUGAUUAAGAGGGACAGUUGGGGGCAUUCGUAUUACGGUGUCAGAGGUGAAAUUCUUGGAUUUCCGUAAGACGAACUUCUGCGAAAGCAUUUGCCAAGGAUGUUUUCAUUAA
rnacentral:rRNA from 1 species